ACGACCUUACUUGAACAGGAUCUGUUCUAUAGGCUCGUACCAUUGUGUCCUUGAGUUCUAAGGAGACAAGAACCUAAACCUGGUUGAUGAAUCAUGACCGUGUAAUCAGAGCGUGAUUAACGGCGAUGAUGAUCUCUCUUGUAGAGUUUCAUCUGUGGCAGUAGAGGAUCGUUCUCGGAAAGUGUGAAACACUUGCUGAGAUGAUUACACGGUUGUCUGACAGGUU
rnacentral:snoRNA from 1 species